GUCUCUUGACAUCACCCUGAAUGUGCCCAACCUCGUUGGAUUUUGAAAGCUAAGCUGGGAUUGAGUCUCGUUAGUACUUGUAUGGGUGACCACCAGUGUAUGCCAGGUGUUGUAGGCA
rnacentral:rRNA from 1 species